UGUGAAGCACUGAACCAGUAAGGCAAAUGAACACAUGCCUUGGUGUCACCAUUUCAUUGUGUUCCCAUGAGCCUUUGCAAGAACACUGAGAUAAUCACGCAGCUGUUGGCAAACAUUUUUUACAUGAGUUUUCUUAAAGAGGAUUAUGCUUAGAGACCAGUAGAAUUUGGAGGAGAAGGGGUCUAUAUGCAGCGAAGUAAAGUACAGAUACGUGAAAUUUCUACUUAAGUACAGUAUGAUAACACAGCUGCAUAGUUAUUUGAGAAUUCGAAAAAACAUCAUUAUUCUUCCAACCGUCCAGUCCACCAGCUGUCAGCAUGCAAUGGAAAUCAGGCGAUUUCGUAAGGUGUGAUCCCCAAAACGGACGGUGGAAUCUGCCUGCCUUCAUGGAAGUAUCACAAGCUUUUUCUAGCUAUCUGUUCAAAAAAUAAACUGCAAAAUAAAUAAAUGUCGAACUG